CCUACGGGUGGCAGCAGUGGGGGAUAUUGCACAAUGGGGGAAACUCUGAUGCAGCAACGCCGCGUGAAGGAAGACGGUUUUCGGAUUGUAAACCUCUGUCUUCGGUGACGAAACGAGACGGUAGCCGAGGAGGAAGCCACGGCUAACUACGUGCCAGCAGCCGCGGUAAUACGUAGGUGGCAAGCGUUGUCCGGAAUUACUGGGGGUAAAGGGAGCGCAGGCGGGAAGGCAAGUUAGCUGUUUAAAGUACGGGGUUAACCUGUAAAAAGCGGUUAAAACUGGUUUUCUUGAGUGGAGUAGAGGGUAGCGGAAUUCCGAGUGUAGCGGUGAAAUGCGUAAAUAUUCGGAGGAACACCAGUGGCGAAGGCGGCCAACUGGGCUUUAACUGACGCUGAGGCUCGAAAGUGUGGGUAGCAAACAGGAUUAGAUACCCGUGUAGUC
rnacentral:rRNA from 1 species